CCUACGGGAGGCAGCAGUGGGGAAUAUUGGACAAUGGGCGGAAGCCUGAUCCAGCAACGCCGCGUGAGGGAUGACGGCCCUCGGGUUGUAAACCGCUUUCAGCAGGGACGAAAUUGACGGUACCUGCAGAAGAAGGCCCGGCCAACUACGUGCCAGCAGCCGCGGUAAU
rnacentral:rRNA from 1 species